rnacentral:misc_RNA from 1 species
UUGUUUAUUUAAAUAUAAACUCAGACAAUUGAUAAAAAUAAAGAGUUGUGGUUCCUUUGGUGAAGGCUCACCCGUUUCUAGCGUCUCAACCUCUCUCAAAGUAAAGAAAGGCAAGACGAUGGAAACCAAUGGACUUUGUUGCCUAAACAACAAAAGCACGCUUCACCAAAGUAAUAAUUAAAAGUAACACAAAGGGUGGGAGAUUCCACGACAAGCAUGGAAAAAUCUCGGUAAUGAUCCUUCCGCAGGUUCACCUACGGAAA